rnacentral:rRNA from 1 species
GAUGAACGCUAGCGGCAGGCCUAACACAUGCAAGUCGAGGGAUAAGCCUUCGGGCUAAGACCGGCGCACGGGUGCGUAACGCGUAUACAAUCUGCCUUUUAUCCGGGGGAUAGCCCGAAGAAAUUUGGAUUAAUACCCUAUGGUAUAAGAGCACGGCAUCGUGCACUUAUCAAAGCUACGGCGGUAAAAGAUGAGUAUGCGUUCUAUUAGCUAGUUGGAGAGGUAACGGCUCCCCAAGGCGACGAUAGAUAGGGGUUCUGAGAGGGAUGUCCCCCACACUGGUACUGAGAUACGGACCAGACUCCUACGGGAGGCAGCAGUGAGGAAUAUUGGACAAUGGUCGGAAGACUGAUCCAGCCAUGCCGCGUGCAGGAUGACGGCCUUAUGGGUUGUAAACUGCUUUUGUAAGGGAAGAAUAAGGAGUACGUGUACUUUGAUGACGGUACCUUACGAAUAAGCAUCGGCUAACUCCGUG